AAUCAACGCUGGCGGCGUGCCUAACACAUGCAAGUCGAACGAGAAAGUGGAGCAAUCCAUGAGUAAAGUGGCGCACGGGUGAGUAACACGUGACUAACCUACCCUUGAGUGGGGGAUAACCUAGGGAAACCUGGGCUAAUACCGCAUAAUACCUACGGGUCAAAGGAGCAAUUCGCUUUAGGAGGGGGUCGCGGCAGAUUAGUUUGUUGGCGGGGUAAUGGCCCACCAAGACGAUGANCUGUAUCCGGCCUGAGAGGGCGCACGGACACACUGGAACUGAAACACGGUCCAGACUCCUACGGGAGGCAGCAGUGGGAAUUUUGCGCAAUGGGGAAACCCUGACGCAGCAACGCCGCGUGGAGGAUGAAGACCCUUGGGUCGUAAACUCCUUUCGAUCGGGACGAUAAUGACGGUACCGGAAGAAGAAGCCCCGGCUAACUUCGUGGCAGCAGCCGCGGUAAC
rnacentral:rRNA from 1 species